rnacentral:rRNA from 1 species
AUUGAACGCUGGCGGCAGGCCUAACACAUGCAAGUCGAACGGUAACAGGAAACAUCUUUCUGUUUCGCUGACGAGUGGCGGACGAGUGAGUAAUGUCUGGGAAACUGCCUGAUGGAGGGGGAUAACUACUGGAAACGGUAGCUAAUACCGCAUAACGUCUCAAGACCAGAGAGGGGUACCUUCUUGCCUCUUGCCAUCGGAUGUUCCCAGAUUGGAUUAGCUAGUAGGUGGGGUAACUGCUCACCUAGGCGACGAUCCCUAGCUGGUGUGAGAGGAUGACCAGCCACACUGGAACUGAGACACGGUCCCGACUCCUACGGGAGGCCGCAGUGGGGAAUAUUGCACAAUGGGCGCAAGCCUGAUGCAGCCAUGCCGCGUGUAUGACGAAGGCCUUCGGGUUGUAAAGUACUUUUAGCGGGGAGGAAGGGAGUAAAGUUAAUACCUUGGCUGAUUGACGUUACCCGCAGAAGAAGCACCGGCUAACUACGUG